rnacentral:lncRNA from 1 species
CUACAGCGAUCCUUUCUACAUGCGUCUCCCUUCUGCAGGCUUCUUAAAAAAUGAAAAGAUAGAAGAAGGGUUUUCAACACUUGACUGGAUGAAACCCCAAGGAACCUGAUCAAUAUUCAAAGAUAUAUAAUCAGCAAGGAAUUGUCUUUAUCAGUCAGUAAAGUACCGUGUGUCACCCAUUGUAAGGACCUAAUGCCAUGUUGAAGUAUUGCAGGACAGUAAAAGGUAAAACCAAUCCUGAUAAAGGAUAUAAAAGGGUCUGGUAAAUUACCACAAGUUUCUGUUUUCAGAGUGGACAUCUGUCUGAAAGAUGGCCUCAUCAACUAAAGAAACAACUAUGCUCUUUAAGUAAUCAAUGCUCAAUUACAAUGAUGACCCCCUUUUUGUUUUGGGGGCACUGAUGAUCUUUGCUGACUGAGUU